AAAAAAUCACCACCGGGUGAUCCCAGUAUGUAGACAACUCUUUAGGUCUUAGUAGAGUUGGCUAGAUGCUUUUUUUUAUG
rnacentral:ncRNA from 1 species